AUUGAACGCUGGCGGCAGGCCUAACACAUGCAAGUCGAGCGAGCGGCGGACGGGUGAGUAAUGUCUGGGAAACUGUCUGAUGGAGGGGGAUAACUACUGGAAACGGUAGCUAAUACCGCAUACCAUCAGAGGUGCCCAGAUGGGAUUAGCGAGUAGGUGGGGUAACGGCUCACCUAGGCGAGGAUCCCUAGCUGGUCUGAGAGGAUGAGCAGCCACACUGGAACUGAGACACGGUCCAGACUCCUACGGGAGGCAGCAGUGGGGAAUAUUGCACAAUGGGCGCAAGCCUGAUGCAGCCAUGCCGCGUGUGUGAAGUAGGCCUUCGGGUUGUAAAGCACUUUCAGCGGGGAGGCGUUACCCGCAGAAGAAGCACCGGCUAACUCCGUGCCAGCAGCCGCGGUAAUUC
rnacentral:rRNA from 1 species